ACCACAGCUCAACAAUGGAAUGUUGCAUAUUCAUUCUAGCAGCUUAUUUCAGUGUGUGCUCUGCAGAGGGGGACUCUGUUACUCAACCUAAAGAUGAGACGGGUCUGGAGGGCAGCAGUGUGACACUACGCUGUCGGUAUGAGACCACAGCAUUAGCAUCUCAACAGUAUCUCUUCUGGUACCAGCAGAAACCAAAAGGAUUCCCAAAAUAUAUUCUUCUGAAAAUGUCUCUAAGACAAGACAAUGACCCAGAGUUUAAGGAGAGAUUCAAUGCUGCACUCAAUACAGAGACAAAAACUGUUAAUCUGACAAUCCAGGAUCUGCAAUUGUCUGACUCUGCUGUGUACUACUGUGCUCUGAGGCCCACAGUGACAGCUGCACAUUCAACUCUCAUACAAAAACCUUUUUAA